CCGGUUGAUCCUGCCGGAGGCUACCGCUAUUGGAGUUCGAUUAAGCCAUGCGAGUCGCGAGAAAUUAGAUUCUCGGCGUACCGCUCAGUAACACGUGGGUAACCUGCCCUAUGCUGGAUAAUAACCUCGGGAAACUGAGAAUAAUGAUCCAUAGUUCACUACGCCUGGAACGGUGAGUGGAUGAAAGCUCCGGCGGCAUAGGAUGGGCCUGCGGCGUAUCAGGUUGUAGGGGGUGUAACGUACCCUCUAGCCCUCUACGCGUACGGGUGUUGGGAGACAUAGCCCGGAGAUGGAUUCUGAGACACGAAUCCAGACCCUACGGGGUGCAGCAGGCGCGAAAACUUGGCAAUGCGAGAAAUCGUGACCAGGGAACUCCAAGUGCAUGGGGUAAGACCCAUGCUUUUCUUGACUCUAAAUAGGUCUUGGAAUAAGGGGUGGGUAAGGACGGUGCCAGCCGCCGCGGUAAUACCGGCGCCUCAAGUGGUAGUCGCUUUUAUUGGGCCUAAAACGUCCGUAGCCGGUCUGAUACAUUCGUGGGUAAAUCAACCAGCUUAACUGGUUGAAUUCUGCGAGGACGGUCAGACUUGGGACCGGGAGAGGUGUGGGGUACGCUCAGGGUAGGGGUAAAAUCCUGUCAUCCUGAGCGGACCACCUGUUGCGAAGGCGCCACACUAGAACGGAUCCGACGGUCAGGGACGAAGCCUAGGGGCACGAACCGGAUUAGAUACCCGGGUAGUCCUAGGUGUAAACGCUGUGGACUUGAUGUUGGGGGUGCUCCGAGCACUCUCAGUGUCGAAGCGAAGGUGAUAAGUCCACUGCCUGGGAAGUACGGUCGCAAGGCUGAAACUUAAAGGAAUUGGCGGGGGAGCACCGCAACCUGAGGAUUGUGCGGUUUAAUUGGAGUCAACGCCG
rnacentral:rRNA from 1 species